AUGAACGCUGGCGGCGUGCCUAAUACAUGCAAGUCGAGCGAACAGACGAGGAGCUUGCUCCUCUGACGUUAGCGGCGGACGGGUGAGUAACACGUGGAUAACCUACCUAUAAGACUGGGAUAACUUCGGGAAACCGGAGCUAAUACCGGAUAAUAUAUUGAACCGCAUGGUUCAAUAGUGAAAGACGGUUUUGCUGUCACUUAUAGAUGGAUCCGCGCCGCAUUAACUAGUUGGUAAGGUAACGGCUUACCAAGGCAACGAUGCGUAGCCGACCUGAGAGGGUGAUCGGCCACACUGGAACUGAGACACGGUCCAGACUCCUACGGGAGGCAGCAGUAGGGAAUCUUCCGCAAAGGGCGAAAGCCUGACGGAGCAACGCCGCGUGAGUGAUGAAGGUCUUCGGAUCGUAAAACUCUGUUAUUAGGGAAGAACAAAUGUGUAAGUAACUAUGCACGUCUUGACGGUACCUAAUCAGAAAGCCACGGCUAACUACGUG
rnacentral:rRNA from 1 species